CAUUUGUUACCAAUCGGUACCCAGAAGCUUCUAAAGAUUCAACGGAACAGUAUUGCUUCAAGAUAUAAAAUAAAAAAAUGUCAAAAAUAAUUUUAUUGUUAUCAAUUUUCGUAUCGGUUGUUAUCUAUUAUGGUGUGUAUGCAGAAUGUCCUGGCGGUUGGUGCCAUCCAUCACAAGGACAUGGCUGCUGUGAAGGAAAUCGAUGCACAACUCACUUGUUUCAAGGUAAAUGUAUAACUAUACAAGAAUAUGCAGACAGAAGAACAAGUCAUAUCGCAACAUAAUUAUAAAAACACAAUGGAGGUUUAUAAAUGUAUUUUAUGAGU